CUGUCCCUCAGGGAUGUUGCUGUUGGGUGAGGUGAUGCACCAUGUGGUUGAUGGGCUGUUUCACUCGUUUAGCUGGACCCCAUUGGAGGGAUCAGACAGUGACAUUUGUGCCUGUUGCCAUGUGGGGAACUGUGGGAGCACAAGGGAGAUCCCCUCCAGAGGAAGGAGGGACCUUGGUCCUGAAGCUGGUAGGACAUUGACCAUCUUGAUUUUGGGGUCCCCCCUCUCCUCUCCCUGACUGGGAUGUUUGAUCUUGCAGAGAGUGAAGCUGGAUUGAAGUGGGAAGGGGAGGCCUCACUUGGCCCCCUGAUCAUUCUGGAUACUGGGCUGACCAACCUGGCAACUGAGCCCCUGCCUGAGGCUGAAGGAAGGAUACAGGAGAGGUCUGCAGGUGUGGAGCUGGUUGUGAUGGUGACCCUGACUGUGACAGUGGUAUGUCUGAUCUCUGCUUCAUUGCUGGCCUUGGUCCUGUACAGGAAACACAAGCGAACACCCAUCAACUUGAGAUGACAUCGUCAAUAAAGCAGUGAUUCAGUGUC